rnacentral:lncRNA from 1 species
UCUCACCAGCCUGUGGGGCUGUCUAAAUUUCUACUCAGUUUCUUAUUUAUCAAGUGCCUCUCUUUUGUUCCAUGUUUUAGCCUCUCAACUCUGAGUGACAUUAGUUGGCAAAUAAUUUUGAAAAGAAAGGGAUAAAGAAUGUUGGGUUCUUUUCAGUGUACUUCCUUUUCAUCAUAUUCUGGCUCUCUUGGUAGUUCUCUGAUGCUGUAGGAGAGAUUAUACCUGCCACCCACCCCCUACCCCGCCACCCCCAGUUUUAUACUUUUUUUCGGUAGCAGAAUUGUUCCACAAUACACUAUUUUACCAUUAUGGGAAACAGGAUCUCUCCCAACCCUCCACCAUGCUCCCCAACACCCACUGUACUUUUUUUUGUAUAGGAAAGAACACCCAUAAAAUUUUAGCACUAGCCUCAUUUGUCUUCCUUUUGACCAACAAGCUUGAACUCUAACCCUGAGAACUGCUAACAGUGCAAAUCAGAAAUGUAAACAUUAUCUUUUGUGCACUUUGCUUUGAGUGUUGACUUGUACUUUUGGAUACCAAAAAUAUAUUGUUAUAAACAGACUACUUAAUAAUGAAGGAUCUUAUAAUAAUUACAUACUUUCAGAUGUUAUACAUUAAACUUGAGAUCUAACCAUAAUACAGAUGCUAGUGUGAUUUUUCUCAAAACAUAGGCACAUUUUGUAUAAUAAAAACUAGGAGAGUAGGGGAAGAGCACAAAUAUUAUGCUGUAUAUUUCAGGAAGUACUUCAGUUUUGGGAUAAGAUGGAUAUGUGCUCAAGUCCUGGUUUGACCACUUGCUAUGUGACAAGAAUGUAGUAUCUUUCCCCCUCAAUUUUCUUUUCUGUUAAAUCAUAAUAUUUAUAUAUUAUGAUGAUUAUGUAUGUUUUAAUGAAAUGUGUAUAUAAAAUAUUUAACUCGAAGUCAACUUUACCCAAAGUGCUUAGUCAAUAUUAGCCACCCAUUCAUAUCCUUUAUGAAUAAUUUCCUCAGUGAAGUAAAAGUUUCUAAAAAUAAAUUCAAAUUAUGCUGGAAUGUUUGGCUCUAAAAUUAUAAAGGAAUAGAUUCAGUUGAAUAGCUACAUAGUUUUAAAGGUGGUAAUUUUUUUACAAAUAAAACAUGAUGAAUUUCUAUAGAGGAAUAAUAUGAAGUUCAAAAGAAUUCCUCUAUAGAAAGAAAAAUAUUAAAUAACUAAAGUUCUUUUUGAAGAGCAUCUAAAAAUUAAGAGUAAUUGAAAGUAAAUAUUUAAAUUGUUAUGAGACUAAAAUAUUUUCCAUUAAGUAAUAUUAAACCUUGCCAAUUUUGACAAGACUGAUUCUAAUAUUUUUUUCAGAGAAUCAGGGGGGUUUAGAACCGUAAGAGAUCUUAUUUAAAAUCUUAGAAUUCUUACAUCUGGAAUACUUGAGUAACAUUCCAAGGUUACGUACCAAAAAAAAAAAAAAAAAAAAAAAAAAAA